AUUGAACGCUGGCGGCAUGCCUUACACAUGCAAGUCGAACGGCAGCGGGCCCUUCGGGGUGCCGGCGAGUGGCGAACGGGUGAGUAAUGCAUCGGAACGUACCCGGGAGAGGGGGAUAACCGGCCGAAAGGCUGGCUAAUACCGCAUGAACUCGGAAGAGCAAAGCGGGGGACCUUCGGGCCUCGCGCUCUCGGAGCGGCCGAUGUCCGAUUAGGCUAGUUGGUGGGGUAAAGGCCCACCAAGGCAACGAUCGGUAGCGGGUCUGAGAGGACGAUCCGCCACACUGGGACUGAGACACGGCCCAGACUCCUACGGGAGGCAGCAGUGGGGAAUCUUGGACAAUGGGCGCAAGCCUGAUCCAGCAAUGCCGCGUGGGUGAAGAAGGCCUUCGGGUUGUAAAGCCCUUUCGGCGGGGAAGAAAUCGGUCAGGCGAAUAGUCUGGCCGGAUGACGGUACCCGCAGAAGAAGCACCGGCUAACUACGUG
rnacentral:rRNA from 1 species